CCUACGGGUGGCAGCAGUGGGGAAUAUUGGACAAUGGGCGAAAGCCUGAUCCAGCCAUGCCGCGUGUGUGAAGAAGGCCUUCGGGUUGUAAAGCACUUUCAGUGGGGAAGAAAGCCUUGGGGCUAAUACCCUCGAGGAAGGACAUCACCCACAGAAGAAGCACCGGCUAACUCCGUGCCAGCAGCCGCGGUAAUACGGAGGGUGCGAGCGUUAAUCGGAAUUACUGGGCGUAAAGCGCGCGUAGGCGGUCUGAUAAGCCGGUUGUGAAAGCCCCGGGCUCAACCUGGGAACGGCAUCCGGAACUGUCAGGCUAGAGUGCAGGAGAGGAAGGUAGAAUUCCCGGUGUAGCGGUGAAAUGCGUAGAGAUCGGGAGGAAUACCAGUGGCGAAGGCGGCCUUCUGGACUGACACUGACGCUGAGGUGCGAAAGCGUGGGUGGCAAACAGGAUUAGAUACCCUUGUAGUC
rnacentral:rRNA from 1 species